CGGCGAGUGNNGCGGCAACAGCUCAAAUUUGAAAUCUGGCGCAAGCCCGAGUUGUAAUUUGCAGAGGAUGUUUCUGGCGACGCGCCUUCCGAGUUCCCUGGAACGGGACGCCAUAGAGGGUGAGAGCCCCGUACGGUUGGAUGCCUAGCCUCUGUGAAACUCCUUCGACGAGUCGAGUAGUUUGGGAAUGCUGCUCUAAAUGGGAGGUAUACGUCUUCUAAAGCUAAAUACCGGCCAGAGACCGAUAGCGCACAAGUAGAGUGAUCGAAAGAUGAAAAGCACUUUGAAAAGAGGGUUAAAAAGUACGUGAAAUUGUUGAAAGGGAAGCGUUCAUGACCAGACUUGGGCAGGUUGAUCAUCCGUGGUUCUCCGCGGUGCACUCUGCCUGCCCAGGCCAGCAUCAGUUCGCCCCGGGGGAUAAAGGCUUUGGGAAUGUGGCUCCCUCGGGAGUGUUAUAGCCCACUGCGUAAUACCCUGGGGUGGACUGAGGNUNNCGCUCUGCAAGGAUGCUGGCGUAAUGGUCAUCAACGACCCGUCUU
rnacentral:rRNA from 1 species